rnacentral:lncRNA from 1 species
UGAUUUUUCUCACGUGCAUUAUAAUGGAUAUUCAAGAUUUGACUGAAGGAAAAGAGAAUGACAAAUCACUUAAUUGAAAAGAAAACACAACUGAUGGUGAUUUAAAUCAAACAUAAAAAGCACAUUCCAUCAAAGAUCAGAAAAAACCAUAGAGUGUUUACAGAAACAAAUCUGAUGAAACUCAAGUUCAUGAUCAGUUGGAAGACCAAAAUGAAACCUAGAAAAGAUCUUCUAUAUUCAUCCCAAGACAAAGAAUGUAACAUAACAGUGAAAUGACAGACAUAGAAACAGAGAAAACUCUGAGAACAUAAUCAUAAAUAAAUUGGAAAAGGAACCACAAAUAUAACACAAAAGCACAGUCAAUCACAGAAAAAUUCAGGAAAACAAAUCCAGUGAAACUCAAUAUUGAUCAUCACUCCAAAGAACAAAGUCAAGAAAAAUGAUCCU